AAUCAUGUUCCAAGAGUUCAAUUUCUCUAAAACAGAAAGAAAGAAAAAACUGUUCUUUAAUGGCUUCCCAACUCAACUCAGAUCAAUUUGACUCCAUGCAUGCAAACUUUGAAGUUUUGCAAUGUUCAUAUAUUACAUGUUCUUUAUUGUUCAUCAUGUCGUGGAACAUUGCAGCUCUAAUUAAUUAAGCAACUAUAAGCCCCG
rnacentral:lncRNA from 1 species